AAGCAAGAGGACCCCUCUAUUCGUCAAUCAGGUGCCAGCCAAGAGCCGAAGAACUUGUACAGGGGUCAAGAAUACCCACAACACUCACAAGACCUUCAGGAACAGUCAUCUCCCCCUGGGGCAGAUAAAGUACCAGACGGAGGAGCUAGAUUCCAUCCGGAGGGAGCUGAGCAAGAUCAAAGCCCGGGUGGACAGCCUGUUGGAGAGUCUGGAGUCCAUGGAGCAGCAGAGGGACCAGCGCGUGAGUCAGGUACUCAAGGGCGUGCCCAGGCCACGCCCUCCAUGGGCCCCCGGUUUUCUUGCUCCGGAAGAUACCGGGGCACUGGGGUUCUUCUUUCUCUGACUGUAGGCCUCUUCACCAGCAUUGGACUUCAUUUCCCCUGGCUGUUCCCAUGUCCAGGAGAUCUCUGUGAUCUCUAGGUUGUCCUGGUUCCCUCCAGAUACCUGGAGGCAUAGCAGCCGUCUCGUUCUCCCCCUUGUUCUUUGGAGUUAGUUCAGGAUUAGGGCUACGCACCUGACUGAGUCAGCUGGGACCUCCGAACUUUGGCUAUUGGCUCUCUAAACGGGAACAAAGGAUAGUGAAGAGAACAGGUGUCCCAGAAGUGAGGGCUCCUCAUGCCAACAUACUCAGCCCCAAAUGUCCAGGGCCUAGAAAGCCUACCAAGAGGCAGACAGCUCAGAGCAACACACAGACAGGGGGUAAUCAGGAAGUGUUCUGUCUCCUUCACCCUACUUGGGUCCUUGUGGCCUGAGAGCAAAGACAGGGGACUUGGUUUAUGGAG
rnacentral:lncRNA from 14 species